rnacentral:rRNA from 1 species
UACGAAGGGGGCUAGCGUUGUUCGGAUUUACUGGGCGUAAAGCGCACGUAGGCGGAUCGUUAAGUCGGGGGUGAAAUCCUGGAGCUCAACUCCAGAACUGCCUUCGAUACUGGCGAUCUCGAGUCCGGAAGAGGUGAGUGGAACUCCUAGUGUAGAGGUGAAAUUCGUAGAUAUUAGGAAGAACACCAGUGGCGAAGGCGGCUCACUGGUCCGGUACUGACGCUGAGGUGCGAAAGCGUGGGGAGCAAACAGG